GGGGAAUAUUGGACAAUGGGCGCAAGCCUGAUCCAGCCAUGCCGCGUGGGUGAAGAAGGCCUUCGGGUUGUAAAGCCCUUUUGUUGGGAAAGAAAAGCAGCCGGCCAAUACCCGGUUGUUCUGACGGUACCCAAAGAAUAAGCACCGGCUAACUUCGUGCCAGCAGCCGCGGUAAUACGAAGGGUGCAAGCGUUACUCGGAAUUACUGGGCGUAAAGCGUGCGCAGGCGGUUGUGCAAGACCGAUGUGAAAUCCCCGAGCUUAACUUGGGAAUUGCAUUGGUGACUGCACGGCUAGAGUGUGUCAGAGGGGGGUAGAAUUCCACGUGUAGCAGUGAAAUGCGUAGAGAUGUGGAGGAAUACCGGUGGCGAAGGCGGCCCCCUGGACGAAGACUGACGCUCAGGCACGAAAGCGUGGGGAGCAAACA
rnacentral:rRNA from 1 species